CAAAUCUGGAGUGCUAUUGUGAUAGCUCUUUUGUGACAACUGUCCAAGGAGAUGGUUUAAUAGUAUCUACCACAUCUGGGAGCACAGCAUAUUCUUUAGCAGCUGGAGGAUCCAUGGUACAUCCUCAGGUUUGGCCGUUUGGUUCAUUGUUUGGCAUAUUAAUAGUCCAAUUAAAAAAUACUUGGUAACAUAAUCUUUAAAUGUAUAAUCAAUCCAAUUUGAAAAAAUCCACAGGUGCCUGGAAUUCUUUUCACACCCAUCUGUCCACAUUCUCUAUCAUUCCGACCUCUAAUAUUCCAGGAGUGUGCAACUUUGAGGAUUCAAGUACCAUAUAACAGUCGAGGACAUGCAUGGGUGUCGUUUGAUGGGAAAGACAGGACACAAUUAGGAGCAGGCGAUGCACUAGUAAUUAGCAUGGCAGCUUGGCCCGUUCCAAUGGCAUGCCAAACGGAUUC
rnacentral:lncRNA from 1 species